rnacentral:rRNA from 1 species
GGAUUAGUGGCGAACGGGUGAGUAACACGUGAGUAACCUGCCCUUAACUCUGGGAUAAGCCUGGGAAACUGGGUCUAAUACCGGAUAUGACUCCUCAUCGCAUGGUGGGGGGUGGAAAGCUUUAUUGUGGUUUUGGAUGGACUCGCGGCCUAUCAGCUUGUUGGUGAGGUAAUGGCUCACCAAGGCGACGACGGGUAGCCGGCCUGAGAGGGUGACCGGCCACACUGGGACUGAGACACGGCCCAGACUCCUACGGGAGGCAGCAGUGGGGAAUAUUGCACAAUGGGCGAAAGCCUGAUGCAGCGACGCCGCGUGAGGGAUGACGGCCUUCGGGUUGUAAACCUCUUUCAGUAGGGAAGAA